GACGAACGCUGGCGGCGUGCUUAACACAUGCAAGUCGAACGGAAAGGCCCUGCUUUUGUGGGGUGCUCGAGCGGCGAACGGGUGAGUAACACGUGAGUAACCUGCCCUUGACUUUGGGAUAACUUCAGGAAACUGGGGCUAAUACCGGAUAGGAGCUCCUGCUGCAUGGUGGGGGUUGGAAAGUUUCGGCGGUUGGGGAUGGACUCGCGGCUUAUCAGCUUGUUGGUGGGGUAGUGGCUUACCAAGGCUUUGACGGGUAGCCGGCCUGGGAGGGUGACCGGCCACAUUGGGACUGAGGGACGGCCCAGACGCCUACGGGAGGCAGCAGGGGGGAGUAUUGCACAAUGGGCGGAAGCCUGAGACAGCAACGCCGCGUGCGGGAUGACGGCCUUCGGGGUGUAAACCGCUUUCGCCUGUGACGAAGCGGGAGUGACGGUAAUGGGUAAAGAAGCACCGGCUAACUACGUG
rnacentral:rRNA from 1 species